rnacentral:rRNA from 1 species
CCUACGGGUGGCAGCAGUGGGGAAUAUUGGGCAAUGGAGGAAACUCUGACCCAGCAACGCCGCGUGAAUGAUGAAGGUCUUCGGAUUGUAAAGUUCUUUUCUAAGGGAAGAAGAAAGUGACGGUACCUUAGGAAUAAGCCUCGGCUAACUACGUGCCAGCAGCCGCGGUAAUACGGAGGAGGCAAGCGUUAUCCGGAAUGACUGGGCGUAAAGGGUGCGUAGGUGGUUUGAUAAGUUGGUAGCGUAACUCCGAGGCUCAACCUCGGCACUACUACCAAAACUGUCGGACUUGAGUGCAGGAGGGGCAACUGGAAUUCCUAGUGUAGCGGUGGAAUGCGUAGAUAUUAGGAGGAACACCAGUGGCGAAGGCGGCUCACUGGACUGUAACUGACGUUGAGGCUCGAAAGCGUGGGGAGCAAACAGGAUUAGAUACCCUGGUAGUC